GAGGGCAUAGCUCAACUGCUAGAGUGCACGCUUGACAUGCACAAGGUCCUGGGUUCAAUCCCCAGUACCUCCU
rnacentral:tRNA from 1 species